CAGCCGCCGCGGUAAUGCGUAGGGUGCGAGCGUUAAUCGGAAUUACUGGGCGUAAAGCGUGCGCAGGCGGUUGUUUAAGACAGGUGUGAAAUCCCCGGGCUUAACCUGGGAACUGCGCUUGUGACUGCACAGCUAGAGUAUGGCAGAGGGGGGUGGAAUUCCACGUGUAGCAGUGAAAUGCGUAGAGAUGUGGAGGAGCACCGAUGGCGAAGGCAGCCCCCUGGGCCAAUACUGACGCUGAGGCACGAAAGCGUGGGGAGCAAACAGGAUUAGAUACCCGCGUAGUCCCUGUCUCUUAUAA
rnacentral:rRNA from 1 species